rnacentral:rRNA from 1 species
AGAGCGAACGCUGGCGGCAGGCCUAACACAUGCAAGUCGAGCGCCCGUAGCAAUACGGGAGCGGCAGACGGGAUAGUAACACGUGGGAACGCGCCCUUCGGUUCGGAAUAACUCAGGGAAACUUGAGCUAAUACCGAAUACGCCCUUACGGGGAAAGAUUUAUUGCCGAAGGAACGGCCCGCGUCCGAUUAGCUAGUUGGUGAGGUAAUGGCUCACCAAGGCUACGAUCGGUAGCUGGUCUGAGAGGAUGACCAGCAUCACUGGGACUGAGACACGGCCCAGACUCCUACGGGAGGCAGCAGUGGGGAAUAUGGACAAUGGGCGCAAGCCUGAUCCAGCCAUGCCGCGUGGAUGAUGAAGGCCUUAGGGUUGUAAAGUCCUUUUAACGGGAAGAUAAUGACGGUACCGUAGAAUAAGCCCGGCUAACUUCGUGCCAGCAGCCGC